rnacentral:lncRNA from 13 species
GUGGGAACAGAAGGAGGUGCCUGUCUGUCUUCUGCUACACUUCAUCCUGCCAAUACUGUUUACAGAGAGAAACCUCCAGGCCAAUGCCAAGCUGCCUUUAGUCCUACCCAACUCCCCGAGCCUCCUGUCCUCACUGGUGCCAAAGAACUAGAGAAAACUGAGGUUGCGGAGGGCUGCUCUUCCAAAAUAACCACAACUGUCAGCACGCCAGGAAUCAACAUUAUCUUCUUCUUCUGUGGAAGUAUCUUUAUUUGUUUCAAAGGCAAUUUUAUUCAUUUCUAUCUAAUGCUAUAUAAGGUAAGUGGGAGAAACACAUUAACUCGAAGCAUAUCAUUUUCAUCUACUGCAAAUAAGCUGAUCAUACAGUGCUCUUUGCACACAGCUUUGAAGUUUGGCUCUGACUUUAGGAUGUUUAGCAGUGUUUUCCCACAGUCACCCAGAGAGAACUUACAGAAGGGGUCAUAGCUCAGACACUAUAAAAGAAAACCGUCCUGUGAGAAGCUACUGAAAUGAAAAAGAAACCUGCACUUCAGUGGCACCUCAUUCAUUGGAUAUUUCCCAUAGCAGUGGCAGUGGACUUGGGUUAAGUAUUAAAAUUGAAAAAGCUGAUAAUGAUGUAACUAGAAAAGUGUCUAGAUAAAGAAAAUGAGAAAAGCUGAGGCAACAAAAAGAUGCAUUUUGAGACUUUCCGGGGGAAUGUUUUCUUGAGUUUAGAGAGUUUUCUGUGGGCUUUUCUGAUAUGACUGCUCUGAAGACAUGGACAAUUUUACAAUAUUUACACAAGUUGGGGCUGUUUCACAGGACAAAGAAGUCUCACAAGUAGGACACCACAACCAAUUUGUCCUUCCACUUUCAGAAAAUAUCGAGCUAUUUAAUAGUAUUGAGAGAGCACACUACGUGGUUAUGGGAAAUCCCUGAUAAAAUUCCUCUAAGCAGAGAAAGCCUGAUAAAUCAAGCUGUAGGCACAAAUAUAAACAAUCUACACUAUCCUGUGGUACACUCAGACAAAGAAAUGAUCCCCAACAUUUUUUUGUAUGUCUAAGACAUACCUACAGCUAUCAAAUAAAAAACAAGUUCCCCUUUAAAAUGCA